GAGGCGUUAGUAAAAUAAUUACAUGGCCUUGUCAAGACCAAAUCACAGGUGAAACCCCUGUACGCCCCA
rnacentral:tRNA from 1 species